GGGACGGUGAGACGACACGGUCAAGACGGUGACUUCUCCCGGAGAAGAAAACAAGAAACUCCCCUCAAUCGUUACUGUGUGACAGAGAAAGAUGGUUCACUCUAGAUCUCUCAAUCCUUUUGUUGUUUCAAUCCUCUCCUUUGGCAGAGCAGAGAUCACAAAUCGGAGUUCUCUCUGAAACUAAAUCGGAGUUCUCUCUGAUUCUAGGGUUCGUUCGAAAGAGGAUAAAAUCGAAUUGAGAUUUUUCUUUCUUUUGACAAAAG
rnacentral:lncRNA from 1 species